AGAAGCUUAGGUUACAAAUAUCCCAAACCAGGGGCCUUCAAAGCCCCAAACAAGAUCAAACAUCUUAGCUUCUG
rnacentral:tRNA from 1 species